GACGAACGCUGGCGGCGUGCUUAACACAUGCAAGUCGAACGGAAAGGCCCUGCUUUUGUGGGGUGCUCGAGUGGCGAACGGGUGAGUAACACGUGAGUAACCUGCCCUUGACUUUGGGAUAACUUCAGGAAACUGGGGCUAAUACCGGAUAGGAGCUCCUGCUGCAUGGGGGGGGUUGGAAAGUUUCGGCGGUUGGGGAUGGACUCGCGGCUUAUCAGCUUGUUGGUGGGGUAGUGGCUUACCAAGGCUUUGACGGGUAGCCGGCCUGAGAGGGUGACCGGCGACAUUGGGACUGCGAUACGGCCCAGACUCCUACGGGGGGCAGCAGUGGAGAAUAUUGCCCAAUGGGCGGAAGCCUGAUGCAGCAACGCCGGGUGCGGGAUGACGGCCUUCGGGUUGUAAACCGCUUUAGCCUGUGACGAAGCGUGAGUGACGGUAAUGGGUAAAGAAGCACCGGCUAACUACGUG
rnacentral:rRNA from 1 species